CACACACAGCUGUCACUGGCCGGCUCGACUUGACCUCUGACCUCUUGAGGAGCGAAACAGUUUCCGUGUGCUUUGUGAUCGGCCUGAUGGGAACACGCGCUGAAAUGUCGGGGUCAGAGGAGUUUUCCUACUUCAGAGCCAGUCAUGGUAAUCGGUGUCUCCCCACCUGCCGCCCAAUGACUGCUGGGAUAGGCUCCAGCAUCCCCGCGACCCUGAGAGCAGGAUUAAGCGGUUCGGGUAAUGGAUGAAUGAGCAUUGUUGGAGGAAAUGUCUGCGGAACACAACGAUCUUUUGCUGCAUAAUGAUGUUCACUGGCUGAGCAAAGGCUGUGUGUUGGGCAGGGUGUGCGACCUGCGCAACACGCUUGUCAUUUUUAUCUG